AUUUUUCUAUAUUUAUCAAAUGCAAUGAUUAAUUUAUCGGACUGAAUUUUUCUUUGAAAUAUAUAUGAGAUAUUUAUUAUUUGAAUUGUGAACGUAAUGAAAUUCCAAGUUAAGUAUUUGUUAAGAGUUGAAAACAACAGAGGCCGGAGUCACAUUAUCGAUAAACUUUAUCGAAGUGUCACGAUAGCGGAGGUACAAGGUGAACGACCGACAACUUCCUCUUUGCUGUGAUCUGACACUUAAAAAAAAAAAAAAAAAAAAAAAAAAAAAAAAAAAAAGAAAGAAAGAAUAGAAAAGAAAAUAAAGAAGAAACAAUAAAAAAAACAAUUACGAAUGCGUGUCUCGUAGUGCAAUCAAGUAUUCCAUAUUUGAUCUCGUUUCUUUUUCAAUUUGAAUAAUCAUAUAUCUCGCGUAAAAUAAUAAUGUCGUCAUGCAAAAUCAAUUUCAUAUGCAUUUCUCUUUCUCUCUCCCUCUCCCUCUGUAUAAUGCAUCUUAUUUAAUCUUACACGUAUUUACAUUAAUAAAACGUGGCUAUUUAAAUAAAUUUUUUAUUUUAAUAUUCAUCUAUUUUAUAUCAAAUUAUCUUUCUUUAUUCAUCGAUUUUAUUUCAUCUCACACAUUAUUUAAAUGAUUAUUUAAAUCAAAAAAAAUUUUCAAUUGCAAUAUUCAACUUUCAUAGAUCAUUUUAUGUCAAAUCUUUAUUAAUACCAAAGAAACGCGUCACGAGGUAAAUGAAUUAUGAUAUGAGCAAAAAAAAAAAACAAAAAAAAACAAAAAAAACAAAAAGAAGCAAAAAAAAAAAAAGAAGAAAGAAAAACAAGAAGUACCCGAGACAUGCAAUUAGAACCAACCUUAUUGUUAUUCAGGCUCAAAGUUGUUAGAGAUGGCAUAGAAGGUAAUGUUUUUAAAUCGCGUAGCCGAUUAUUGUCCAAUAUUAAUUCCUCCAAUUUAGAGAAAUCCUUUAAUGCCGUGACCGAGGUUAAUUCAUUGUAAGAAAGAUCCAAACUUAUACAAUCACAACCAACGACAUGGACCAAACCAUUGGGAAUUUUAUGAGCUCGUUGUCCGGUGUACCAAGCCUAGAAAAAAAAAAAUAAUAAUAAUAAAGAAAAAGAAAAAGAAACUUCUUGGAAAAUUCUAUUUGACAUUUCAAAUGUUCAAUUCUUCAUGAUCUUCCUUUUCUUUUUUAGAUUCCAUUGUGUUUUUUUCUUUUUUCUUUUUUCCUCUUUUUAUUUCCCUUUUCUUUUUUAACGUACGUUCAGAUCAAUUCACGAACGAAUUUUUACCCGCUCACCGUCGAUCGUCAAUGCACUCCUAUUAAAAUCUUGUUGUUGCCUUUCUGCCGCCAUCUUACACUUCGUUCGUCGUACCCGUAGAAUAAACUGAACGCGAGAGAUUAUUUUAGUUCUAGAGACGUACGUACGUACGUACGUACGUACGCACGCAGGCACGCACGCACGACGACGACUAUGACGACAAUGACGACGACACGCGACGACGACAAUAACAACACCGUAAAGAGAAAUCCGUUUCAAAAGCGUCGAUCAUUUAUUCUUUUAAACCGGUUUAUAUUAAAAUGUCAAUAGAUUUUCAAUACAUAUCAAUAACUAGUCAACAUGGCUCGUUGGAUUUUUUUUUUUUUUUUUUUCUUUUUUUUUUAAGUAAGUUUAUUUGACACAGCCCUAUAUUAGAUACACAAGUAUAAUCUUACUUAGAAGAAUUUUUUACAUUAAUUUAAUAAAAAUAUAACUAUUAGUCAUCGUUAGAUAAAUCUCUAUAGCAAUAAAUAUAUAGAAUUUUAUAAUUAAUAUUGUAACUGGAUUAAAGUAUUCAUAAAACAAUCGAUAAUAUAUGAGGGUAAAGUAAAAAAUAGUGAAAAAAAAAAAAAGAAUUUUACCAACUAUAGAAAAAAAAAAAAAAAAAAUUGGGCUCGUCCGGGAUUUGAACCCGGGACCUCUCGCACCCUAAGCGAGAAUCAUACCCCUAGACCAACGAGCCAUGAGUUGCUGUUGAAUAUUCGAAUAUGACGGACGUGCUAAUCGGUGCUCUUUUGUAAAAAAAAAAAUAUACAAUAGAAGACCUUACAAGGAUUGUGCAAAUUGAAAAAACAGAUUUAGUUGUCGCAAGACAGAUAAUUUUUCUUUUACCACUAGUGACACUGAAUUAUUUUGCAAAUCAUACAACAAGAUAAUAAUGGUUAUGUGAUUUGGGCUCAUCCGACGACUCAAAACUGACCCAACAAAAACAAAAAAGUCAUGGCGUCAAAUCAGAAAAGGAAAUUAGAAAAGAGUGCUUCGCAUGACGAAGUAAACAAAAUACUGAAAUGGAAUGUUAAAAAUUUCGAUAAAGAAUUCAAUACUAAUAAUUAUGAUAGACUAUUUGAAAAUAAUUCGUGAAUAAUACCUAACCUGAACAUAGUAAGAAACAAAGGAACAGGACUAGACGCGAACAAAGAGAAUGAUAGGAACGAGGUUUUUCGGAAACCAAAAAAAAAAAAACAACAUCACCGAAACUCUCAGUCGGUACUCAAAGUCUAAACUAUGAGUCAGAUAAUAGAUUUGAGGCGCUAUUCGAUGACAUGAGUUUCACGAAAGAGGGCGUAGCUGAAAAGGCCAACAGCGCCACAAUGAAAAACAAAAGGCUGAAAACCCUCGAAAUUCGAAUACCCCCAUAUACAUUUUAAAAUCUAACCUAAAGGAUAUUAUUAAACUACUAACUAAUAACAAUAUUAUCAAUGAAGCUUUCUUGUUAAAACAACUAGAUAUAGAUAUGAUAAUAUUAAUAAUCAUGGAUAACGAUACACACGACAAUACAAAAAUUGCCAAAGAAUAAGUCAUGCCAGCGUUAAUUGUAAUAUGGGAUACAGAUGUGUAAAAUUUGUCCAACUCCACAAACCGGGAAAAUGCAACUUAAUUAAUUCUGUAGAGAAAGAGAAGCUGAAAUGUGUAAAUUGCGGUUAAAAUGGACAUCCAGCAUCAUUUCAUAUAGGAUGCUCAUAUAUGAAAAUGAUAGCUGACCUGAAGAAGAAAGAAAAAGAAAAAAAGAUAAAAUAGUAAUGGACAAACACAAUAAAAUUAACAAAUUCAUUGACCCAAAUAUAUCAUACGUAAACAUAGUGAUGACCAAAGAAAAAAAAAAGUAGUAUAACAGAACACAACAACCAGAGAGAUCAGUCAAUAACACACCUCAGGCAAUGCACCAGUAUAGUCAUCAUAAUACAAUUCAGCAUCAUGAAAAUAAUGUCAAUAACGAAAACAAUUACAAUAGCAUAAACCAAAUACUAGCUAUGUUUAAUGAUAAUUUGAAGGAAAUAAAAGAGCAACUUAUUGAAUUGAAUAACAAAAUUAUUCAAAACACAAAGGGAAUCAACUACAUGUCACAAUGGCAGAUAGAAUAAGGAUAAAUACCAAAAUAAAUAACAUACUGAAAAUGUCCGCUAUAAAUGUAAACUCUCUACAUAAAUAUAAUCUUACUUAAAAGACUUUUAACAUUAUUUUAUUAUAAAUAUAGUUAUAAGCUAUCUGCAGAUAAAUCUCCAUAGCAAUCAAUAACAUAGAAUUUUAAUUAAUAUUAUAACUGUGUAUAUAAUGUUCAUUAAACAAUCAGAUAUAUAAAUAUAAAAUAGUGGAUAAAAUAAAAAAUAGUGACUAUAAAAAAAUUUUUACCAACUCUAGCAAUUAUGAUAACUAAUCUACAGGGGGGAGGGUAUAUUUACAAUUAGAGCAUAUAUACAUUAUGUACAACUAAACUAUACGUUUUAAGUCUC